rnacentral:rRNA from 1 species
UACGAAGGGUGCAAGCGUUACUCGGAAUUACUGGGCGUAAAGCGUGCGUAGGUGGUUGUUUAAGUCUGUUGUGAAAUCCCCGGGCUCAACCUGGGAAUUGCGUUGGAGACUGCAAGGCUGGAGUCUGGCAGAGGGGGGUAGAAUUCCACGUGUAGCAGUGAAAUGCGUAGAGAUGUGGAGGAACACCGAUGGCGAAGGCAGCCCCCUGGGUCAAGACUGACGCUCAUGCACGAAAGCGUGGGGAGCAAACAGG